UGGUGGAGUGAUUUGUCUGCUUAAUUGCGAUAACGAACGAGACCUUAACCUGCUAAAUAGUCACGCGAACUACCGUUCGCGGCUGACUUCUUAGAGGGACUAUCGGCGAUUAGUCGAUUGGAAGUUUGAGGCAAUAACA
rnacentral:rRNA from 1 species